UGGGGAAUAUUGGACAAUGGGCGCAAGCCUGAUCCAGCCAUGCGGCGUGAGUGAUGAAGGCCCUAGGGUUGUAAAGCUCUUUCACCGGUGAAGAUAAUGACGGUAACCGGAGAAGAAGCCCCGGCUAACUUCGUGCCAGCAGCCGCGGUAAUACGAAGGGGGCUAGCGUUGUUCGGAUUUACUGGGCGUAAAGCGCACGUAGGCGGACUAUUAAGUCAGGGGUGAAAACCCGGGGCUCAACCCCGGAACUGCCUUUGAUACUGGUAGUCUUGAGUUCGAGAGAGGUGAGUGGAAUUCCGGGUGUAGAGGUGAAAUUCGUAGAUAUUCGGGGGAAAACCAGUGGCGAAGGCGGCUCACUGGCUCGAUACUGACGCUGAGGUGCGAAAGCGUGGGGAGCAAACAGG
rnacentral:rRNA from 1 species